rnacentral:sRNA from 1 species
GCCGGGUGUGGUGGCGCACACCUGUAAUCCCAGCUGUUCAGGAGGCUGAGGCAGGAGAAUUGCUUGAACCUGGGAGGCAGAGGUUGCAGCGAGCCCAAGAUCACGCCACUGCACUCCAGCCUGGGUAACAGAGCAACAUUCUGUCUCAA